rnacentral:rRNA from 1 species
GACGAACCGAGCGACCGUUGUUCGGAAUCACUGGGCUUAAAGGGCGCGUAGGCGGUGGCUCAAGUCUGUGGUGAAAUCCUCCGGCUCAACCGGAGAACUGCCAUGGAUACUGGGUGUCUCGAGGGAGGUAGGGGCGUGCGGAACUAUUGGUGGAGCGGUGAAAUGCGUUGAUAUCAAUAGGAACUCCGGUGGCGAAGGCGGCACGCUGGACCUCUUCUGACGCUGAGGCGCGAAAGCCAGGGGAGCAAACGGG